GUCCACGCCGUAAACGAUGUCUACUAGCCGUUGGGUUCCUUGAGGACUUAGUGGCGCAGCUAACGCAAUAAGUAGACCGCCUGGGGAGUACGGUCGCAAGAUUAAAACUCAAAUGAAUUGACGGGGGCCCGCACAAGCGGUGGAGCAUGUGGUUUAAUUCGACGCAACGCGAAGAACCUUACCAGGUCUUGACAUCCAGAGAACUUUCCAGAGAUGGAUUGGUGCCUUCGGGAACUCUGAGACAGGUGCUGCAUGGUUGUCGU
rnacentral:rRNA from 1 species